GAUGUCACCACUGGAGUGUCCUGGCUGGAUCGGCAAGCAGUCAGCAGAAGGGGAGGAGAGAAGAAGAGAGGAGGGAAGAGACGGCGAAAUGUGUUUCCUGAAUGGGAGGAGAGGUGGAAAAAGCCCAUCCUGCCCCAAGAAUCACCGCCGCCCCACCAGAGCUGCCGCCACUGGCCUUUCUGCAGAGGCAGCAAAAGUUCCCCAAGAGGGGAGCGUCUGCCAACUCAAACAGGGCUCAUUCUCCUCUCUGUGGGCCGUCAGCCGCCCAUGUGGGCCUGCGCUGGGCUUCCUGAGGGCUCGAUGCAGCUGGAGGACUUUGAAUAAAGCAGGAUGUCCAGAGGAAAUGCUUUAUUAAGAUCCUGCCGACAUGAAGAGCUGCUGUGACUUACUGGUGCAUUACUGUCUAAAAGGCAAAGUUAUUUAGACCAAUAAAAGGCUAAUAUAUUGUUGGAGUGGAAUUACACAGAAGUUAUCUCUGCCUUAAUAACAUCACCGCAACCCCUGAUGUUGUUUAGAUCAAUAAAGCCCAUUAAAGUACAGACCUCAAGCGCAGAUAAGGCUGCACUGCCACAGCAAAAUACAGCUUGCUAGCAUCUGAGAGAUCAGAGGUCUUUCUCUGGCACACAAAAAAGUGGUCAAAAUGAGAAAAAGACACUUCAACUUAAUACCAUAAAAACCUUAAAUUCAAUGAAGUUCAUCGUCUGCCUCCUGGAGCCUCCUGGCCUACACAUAAACAAGUAGGAAGAUGCUAAUGGAUUUCAGAUAUUGGUCAGACAAAGUAAAGAAAAGCCAGAAGAUGUCAAAGCAAAGGUGAAACUGCGCUAAACCCCUCGGCUGCAUCUCUGCACUGGGUUUCCUGUUAGGAAGAGGUGGGCUUUUAAGCAGCUCUCUUAUUUCAACACUUCCAAAAAAAGUCCUACUAUAAACUCCCUCUUGACCUUCAACUUUGCCUUCGAACACAAUUUCAUAAAGGGGUGAAUUUUCCUUCUUUUCCCGUCAGUGCAGCUGCUUAUUCUCUGCACUGAUGAUGUCACUGUAAACUCUGAUUCAAAGAUUAAAUGAAUUUCACCCACGUAAGGCAAGGGGGAAAAAAAGAGCGCAUAAAAGUAGACAACGGCUGAAAAAACAUGUCUAACUAUGCCAUCAAAGGGGCUCAUUUUUAACAGUGUCCACCAGGUGAUGCACUAAAUCAUGCUGCUGUCCAUCAGCCCUAAAGACAGAUGACCACAGCCUGACCACUUCCUUGAGGCUCUGCCCCAAGCAAAGAUGACAACACAGAAAGAAAAAAAGAACAUCAGAGUGUAUGUAUAGCUGCGUAUAUGUGUGUGUAUGUAUGUGCACUUUCUCACUUUUGGGAGUGCAGACAGCAUUCACGUGCACUUGUAAAUUGCAGCACACAGAGAUACCACAGGAAACCACAGGAAACGGUAUCUCUAUAAGCACGCGAAAAACAAACAAGACUUUUUUUUCUUUCUUUUAAAUACAAAAUGUCCCCUAUGGCUUAUACAAUGUCAAUAGGAAGUUUACAGACACCGUGUGCUCAGAUGUGGGGGGAACUACGCUGAAGACACAAACAAUGUUUAAAAAAAAAAGAAAAGAAAAGAAAGAACAAAAAGACAAUAGCAACAGUAUUUUUGCAAAAAAGUUUCUGUUGCUUCUCACAGACUCAUCUCAAUGUACACCUGGGAAGACUGCGCUGGACAGAUGCUGUAAUUCCAGUGCCGGAUAAAAGUACUAAAACUCCCCCAAAAAUGUUUCCAUCAUCAUUCUUUUACUCGUCUGUCAUUCUCCAGCACUCUGGCUCAUGCUUUAACAGCUGUAGCCACUGCAGCACAAGCAUAUAUAUAUGGUUCAUGUGUAUUUUUACACAGCAUUAUCCUAGUACAGUAAAUCACAGCUAAUUUUAAACAGAACUUAUAAUGUCUUUAUUUAUUUUCUAACAAAUGUACACUGAUGGAGUGGUGAAUGUUCCUAGUAACCAUGACCAGGUUUUCACGAAAUCAGGUCAAAGAAUUAAGCAAUAACUGCA
rnacentral:lncRNA from 1 species